GGGGGAUUAGCUCAGUUGGGAGAGCGACAGGCUGGCAGUCUGUAGGUCACCGGUUCGAACCCGGUAUCCUCCA
rnacentral:tRNA from 1 species